ensembl:lncRNA
GUUAAAAACGAUGGUUCUAUUCUUAAAGGGGAGCUGACUGUGGUCAUGCUGAGCACUUCUCAGGAUGAGACCUGCCCAAAUAACCUCGCAUUAAAAUUCCAUGUCUGAAAGCAGCUUUGGAAAGGUAAUGGCAAAUCAAUUUCUUCUGAGGAGGAUAAACAACUGGCAACAAAUGUAGGCAGGAAAGCGUAGCUGUUCAGAGCAUCCUGCAACAGGCUUCUACCUUGGUUUCUGCUUGCUUUCUGCCUCUUGAAGAAUAAAUGAAAAUGUAUAUAGAGAAAUGAGGUUCCUAGAAAGAAGUUCAAAUUCCAGAUGGAUGAUACCACCCAGGCACCAGCUGUUGAGGAGGUAACAAAGUCUGCUUUAAAAAAAGAAAUCAUCAGUGCCAAGAUGCUAUUUCUGCACUUUGGGGUUUUGCUUCUGCUGCUCUCUUCUUGCUUUUAGGGCCACACGUGUCCAGGGUGUGCGUACAGUCCUUGGUAUGAGAAUCCUCCUCUCGAUUACCACUGGAGAAUGUAGCAUGUAUCAAUAUAAAUAUCGUUUUGUUAGAAGUGAAACCUUCGUCAAGCAAUACCAAGAAGCAGUCAAAGGUCACCUGGGCAAUGGAAAUGUCUUCCAUGAAGGCUGAAGCUCACAACUCUACAAGAGAAUCCAUGGUGAUCUCUAGAGAAAUUAUUGACUCAAGAUGGAGAAGAAUUAGAACAAGAAUGCACUUGCUUCCAGCAUCUCCUGUGAUCACACAUGUGACUGCAUUGUGCCCAGCUCCUACUACUGUGCUCAGCCAUUCCGCAGGCUCCAUCAUCUCCUUCAUAUCCCAUUGGAAGGGACUGGGGGAGGAAAGGCCAUGUGAGAGUUUGCAGAAUGCCAUGAGCAGGGAUGACCACUGCUCAGAGAGGCCUCAAGUGUUCUAUGAUGUUUCGAAUCCCAUGAAACCAUACCAGAGGGGAUAA